GACGAACGCUAGCGGCGUGCUUAACACAUGCCAGUCGAACGGAAAGGCCCUGCUUUUGUGGGGUGCUCGAGUGGCGAACGGGUGAGUAACACGUGAGUAACCUGCCCUUGACUUUGGGAUAACUUCAGGAAACUGGGGCUAAUACCGGAUAGGAGCUCCCGUUGCAUGGUGGGGGUUGGAAAGUUUCGGCGGUUGGGGAUGGACUCGCGGCUUAUCAGCUUGUUGGUGGGGUAGUGGCUUACCAAGGCUUUGACGGGUAGCCGGCCUGAGAGGGUGACCGGCCACAUUGGGACUGAGGUACGGCGCAGACUCCUACGGGGGGCAGCAGUGGGGAGUAUGACACAAUGAGCGGAAGCCUGAUGCAGCGACGCCGCGUGCGGGAUGACGGCCUUCGGGUUGUGAACCGCUUUCGCCUGUGACGAAGCGUGAGUGACGGUAAUGGGUAAAGAAGCACCGGCUAACUACGUG
rnacentral:rRNA from 1 species